CUUUCAAAUACGGUUUUUAAGAACCGUCAUUGUCUUUACAUAAUUUCCCAUUUUAUAUUAAGGGGAAAAUGCGAAACCUCAUCCAUCUUCUCUCCUUAACCCUCACACAGUUUAUCUCCGCCUCCUCCAACCGCCUCGUCCUCCUCGUCGCUGCCACCACCCACAACUUCUCCCCGGCCAUCCCCUGGCCCCUUAUCUUCCACCCCCUCACCAAAACCUUGUCCUUCGACCCCACCACCUCUACCUCACAUGUUGACAUAUACAUAUCUCUCUCUUUCCUUAUUUAUCUGACCCAUUGCAAAGCAACAGUCCAAUAUUGAAAUCAAAAUAAUUUUAAGAUCAGGAAGCCCGAUCGUUUCAAAUCCUAGAAUCCCAAUCUCUCUCUUUGUCUCCUUAUUGCAAUAACCUAACCUCGUGUCGUGAUCUGGGCACUGGAAUUAGGGUUUGCGCUUUCUGUGAUCCAUAAUCAAGAAUCAAAAGGAGAGAGAAAGAGAUAGGAGAAGAGAUGGAUGAUUGUUGUGCCGUUUGUGCUGAGCCUUUGGAAUGGGUUGCGUACGGACCCUGCUUGCACCGGGAGGUGUGUUCCACGUGCGUCCCUCGUCUACGUUUCAUCUGUGACGAUCGCCUUUGCUGCAUCUGCAAGACCGAAUGCAACCUUGUUUUCGCCACCAAGUUAAAUUUUUUUGAAAUGCUGCCAUCACUUGCUUCACACUUGGCAAUGAUUCCAGUUGUAGUUCAAACUAUCUUGCCAAUGCCUAACAAAGAUGCAAAAGUGUGGCAAUGAUGUUGUACCAUUCAACUGUUCCAAAGAAAAAAUAGCUAUCAUCAACUGUUCAUCUCCUACGUAUAUAUGGCUUUCUGUAACUCUAUUAGGGUCUUUCUGGGAAAGACAUUGGAGAAUGUCAAGGUUCAUAUUAAUUAUUGGUAAAAGAUGAAGGUGGAAAGGGUUUCAAUAUUCCAGUGGUGGGUUAGAGUAGCUGUGCAGCUCAGCUUAAUCUUGCUCGGUGCCUUCUCUGAUAGAGUCUCAUCAAUUAGGUUUCACUCAGAAAAUAGUCCAGAUGAUGAAGAAUGAAAAGCUAUUUCAGUCUCAGGGUGGUCCUAUCAUUCUUUCUCAGGUUGUUGCUUUGGAUGUUGAUCUACCAGUGAAACAGGCGUUUCAUAUAUUGCAUGAGCAGGUAGCUAUUUUUUUUUUCUCUCAGAUGCAUGACCUGGAUAAUUUGCAGGGAGUUUUCAUGGCUCCUCUUUGGGACUUCUGCAAGGGACAAUUUGUUGGUGUUCUUAGUGCUUCAGAUUUUAUUUUAAUUUUAAGAGAGGUAUUUAUUUUAUAUUUUAACAGAGGUGCAUAAGUUUAGGAUCAUUAUUUCUUUGUAUUGGUAAGCUUUCUGAAUACAAUGCUUUUAUGGUGAUGCUGUGAUAGAUAGUGUAUUAUAUGUCAUAUAGAUAGAAGAGGUAUGACAAGUUACAAAACCUGGUAAUGAAAGGAAAAGACAAAAAAGAAAAAUGUGUGAAAAACUUGUAUUUUUAUUCUUGAAAGCUAGUUGCUUCCUAUUCCAACCAAACAGUCUACUUGUAUGAUUGAACAAGUGUCUUGUGCAAUAAACUUCUUGGCAAAAAAUAUUUGUUCAGAUUUGACACUUAAUCAUCGGUGAUUGGCAGGACCAAAGUACUAUGACUUGAUUGGUAGAAAUAUUUGCAUAGAAAUUUUCAUAAUAUUUGAGCCAUUGGAAGUGUAUAUACAUAUCGAUUGAUUCUGCAUGCUGCUGUUUGCACAAACCAACUUGUUGCUAUGACUUUUUAUUUUAAAUUAUUUGAUGUUGGUUAUGGGUACGGUGAAUUGGUGUGUUAAAUUCCACUUCAAAAUUUGAAAUCAUCUUUUUGUCUUUCUUGACAAUUCUAACAUUUGAUAUGCACAAUUACAAUGCUGAUAUUGUUCUUACAAUGCUCAAAUAUGUGUAUUUUUACAUUUAGUAAACCACAAUCAUGCACUUUAACAUCACAUCAAUAUUUGAAGGGGAAAUUAUAAAUUUCGCAAAAAAAAAAUCAUUAUUCUACAUCAAUUGAGCGAUAAACAAUGUAGAAAUCCUUCAAAUUCUACAUCGGUUGACUUAUAACCGAUGUAGAAACCUUCCCAUUCCUAUCCAUUCU